AGUUCGGUGGUCUAGGAGUAUGGUUCUCGGUAUUGGAUGCGAGAGGUCCCGGGUUCAAAUCCCUGCCGAACCC